UCGCAGGAGCAGUGGCCGCAGGGUGCCCGGUCGCCGCCCCCUACGCCCGCAGUUCCCGAGGCCUGAGCCUCCGCGAGCCGGGAUAGGACCGAGUGGCGGGGCUCGGAGCCGCCUCGGCAGGAGCGGCCCUUCCCUCCCUGCAGGGACUCCAGUCCUCGCGGGUCCCGCUGCCCCGACUGCGGACGGAGUGGAUGGGGCGCACCUCCUCACACCCGCUUCCUGGGGUCGCGAACUUCCCGGGCCCCACGGUCCCUGCCACCUCUUCCAAAUGCUCGAGGACUACGCACUUCUACAAGUGAGAUAUUGCAAGGUGGCUUCCUUUAGAACAGUGUUCCCAGGGUCAGUAAUGGAGCCUCAACACUGCAAGGCUGCACAACUACAUUGAAGAGACUUGAAUUUAUUCUCUGAAUUUGAUGGUUUGAUAAGGUCUACCUGUGUUUACAUUUUCCCUGCGUGGUUACUUAUGAGGUGGUCCUCUUCAUCCAUGAUACAGGUAGGUAAUUUUCCUAAUGUUCUAGAUUCAGCUAAUCUAGGAGAACGGUGGAAUUUUUCUUGAUGAAAUGCCUUUCUGCAUUCUGUAGGAGGUUUUUUUCUUUUAAAUGUCCAAAACUAUACUUCCAUUUUCUUUCAAAUCAGAAUAAAGUCAAUAUUCUACAGUUUUUCUAUUAUUAAAAAAAAAAAAAAAAAAAAAGCUUGCUGGUCAGUUUACAAGAGACUUACAAAAAGCUAGUUUCACGUGAGAUUCUAGAGAGCUGAAGACAUUCAUGUUUUAUAGAUAUCACAGCUACAUGUUGAGGACUUCUCUGUUUCAGGCACUGUACUGGCACCAGUUGUACAGCUUUGAAGACAGGUGGUCCUUGCCCUAAAAAGAUCACAGUGAAAAGGGGAGGGGGGAUGGAGUAAAACCACAAAUGAUAUUAUUUCUAAUAUUCAUAAUUGCAAUAAAUUUUUUAAACCCAGUGGUGAAGACAGUGAUUUGUGGGAGGAGGGGGUGAAGAAAUGGGCACUGCUUUGGACUGGGAAUGAGAGAAGACUUCACUGAGAAGUUUACAUUUGAGCCAAAAUCUGGAUGAUAGAAAGGGUAAACUUCAGAAGAACUGGGGGAAUAACAUUGUAGGCACAGGUAACAGAGUGCAAAGACUCUAACACAGAAAUGUAUUUAACAUUUUCAAGGCAUAGGAAAAGAGGGGCAAGUGCAUGAAAUGAGGUGGGAGAGCUAAUAGAAGCCAGGUUACCAGGAGUCUUGAAAGCCAUAGUAAAGUGUUUUUAUUUUAAUUCUCAGUGCACUGCCAACCCUAUGGAAGCUUUUAAAGCAGGGAAUAAUAAGAUUAAUUAGCAUGUUUUAAAAGAUUACUGUCUGGAUUUUGUGUGGAUUAUAAUAGAAAAGAGUAAAAGUGGAGACACUAGGUAGGAGACUUGCUGUUUUUCAGUCUAGAAACAUGGGUUAGACUCCUAUGGUUGUAGAAGAGAUGCUAAGAGAUGGAAAACUGCAGGCUGUAUGUUAGCGGAAGUUCUUGCUGAAUGAAUCAGAGACAUUUACAAGGAGUGACAGAACAAGGGUGUCACAAAAGACUCCCAAGUUUCUGAGCAAUUUGACUGAUGGUGGUACCAAUAAUUGAGACAGAAGAUACAGAGUGAGCAAGUUCAGGGAGAAAUAAGAUUUCUACUUUGACCAUGUUGAGUUUGAUAUGCUGCUAUCUAUUCAACUUAGAAAUAACAACUAGAGCUGGAUGGGUCCAGCAUCCAGAAAAGAGAAGAGGGCCAGAAAUACAUUUAGAAAUCUUCUCAGUGUGCAGAAGGCAUUUCAAUGUGAGAUUAGAUGAGAGCUCUAGAGAGAAACAGCUUAAAGCACUUAUCAGUUAUGAGACUUAGAGGAACUUAAAAAAACUGUAUGAAUAACUCCUUUUUAGACUAUGAUUUAUCAAUAGUAUGAAAGAUUCAUGUAGGGUGUUGGAAAUAAUUGAGAAGGAAACAGGAGAAGGAAUUCUAAAGAUGACCUAGAGAAUUAACUUUAAGAAGGUGAAAUAUUACUGAAUGCAAAAGAGUAAAUAAAGAAAAGCAAGAAGAAAAGCAAAAAAAAAAAAAAAAAAA